rnacentral:rRNA from 1 species
UACGUAGGGGGCAAGCGUUGUCCGGAUUUAUUGGGCGUAAAGAGCGUGUAGGCGGCCUGGCAAGUCCGCUGUGAAAACUCGAGGCUUAACCUCGAGACGUCGGUGGAAACUGCCUGGCUAGAGUCCGGAAGAGGAGAGUGGAAUUCCUGGUGUAGCGGUGAAAUGCGCAGAUAUCAGGAAGAACACCCGUGGCGAAGGCGGCUCCCUGGGACGGUACUGACGCUGAGACGCGAAAGCGUGGGGAGCGAACAGG